UAGGGAAUAUUGCAAAAUGGGCGAAAGCCCGAUGCAGCAACGCCGCGUGGGCGAUGAAGGCCUUCGGGUCGUAAAGCCCUUUUUGAGGGGAUGAGGAAGGACAGUACCCUCAGAAUAAGCCUCGGCUAACUACGUGCCAGCAGCCGCGGUAAAACGUAGGAGGCGAGCGUUAUCCGGAUUUACUGGGCGUAAAGCGCGUGCAGGCGGAUUGGAGAGUUGGAUGUGAAAGCUCCCGGCUUAACUGGGAGAGGUCGUUCAAUACUUCCAGUCUUGAGUGCAGUAGAGGGAAGUGGAACUCCGGGUGUAGUGGUGAAAUGCGUAGAUAUCCGGAGGAACACCAGUGGCGAAAGCGGCUUCCUGGACUGUAACUGACGCUCAGACGCGAAAGCUAGGGUAGCAAACG
rnacentral:rRNA from 1 species